rnacentral:rRNA from 1 species
AGGACGAACGCUGGCGGCGUGCUUAACACAUGCAAGUCGAGCGGAAAGGCCCUUCGGGGUACUCGAGCGGCGAACGGGUGAGUAACACGUGAGCAACCUGCCCUUAGCUUCGGGAUAGCUCCGGGAAACCGGAAUUAAUACCGAAUAUGACUUUGGCUGACAUCAGCAGAAGUGGAAAGUUUUUCGGCUAGGGAUGGACUCGCGGCCUAUCAGCUAGUUGGUGAGGUAACGGCCCACCAAGGCGACGACGGGUAGCCGGCCUGAGAGGGCGACCGGCCACACUGGGACUGAGACACGGCCCAGACUCCUACGGGAGGCAGCAGUGGGGAAUAUUGCGCAAUGGGCGAAAGCCUGACGCAGCGACGCCGCGUGGGGGAUGAAUGCCUUCGGGUUGUAAACCCCUUUCAGCAGGACGAAGCGAAAGUGACGGUACCUGCAGAAGAAGCGCCGGCUAACUACGUGCCAGCAGCCGC